rnacentral:rRNA from 1 species
GACGAACGCUGGCGGCGUGCUUAACACAUGCAAGUCGAACGAUGAAGCCGGAGCUUGCUCUGGUGAAUUAGUGGCGAACGGGUGAGUAACACGUGAGUAACCUGCCCUUGACUCUGGGAUAACUGCGGGAAACUGUAGCUAAUACCGGAUACGACCCUCGGAGGCAUCUCCUGGGGGUGGAAAGAAUUUCGGUCAAGGAUGGACUCGCGGCCUAUCAGCUAGUUGGUGAGGUAAAGGCUGACCAAGGCGACGACGGGUAGCCGGCCUGAGAGGGUGACAGGCCACACUGGGACGGAGACACGGCCCAGAGUCCUACGGGAGGCAGCAGUGGGGAAUAUUGCACAAUGGGCGCAAGCCUGAUGCAGCAACGCCGCGUGAGGGAUGACGGCCUUCGGGUUGUAAACCUCUUUCAGCACCGACGAAGCGCAAGUGACGGUAGGUGCAGAAGAAGGACCGGCCAACUACGUGCCAGCAGCCGCAGUAA